GCUGCAAAACAAAAUUUCAUUACCAGUUCUGAGUAUGGGAUCCCCUUCUACAGGACCUUAAAUCUCUAAGAUUGAAGUUCGGGAUUCCAAAAGAGCGAUUUCGGCAGAAAUAAAAGAAGGCUUGCAGCUACCAGAAAGUCAUUAAGGCAAUAGUUUCUCUAAGAAGACAGAUCUGAAGAAAAUGCGCGAAAAUAAGAAAAAGAACAAGUUCUCAGCACUUGAGCCAUUUAAUUGACCAUCCUUGUUGCUGGACAGUUUCUUAAUAACUUCUGGUGGAUCCUUUCAACAUUCCUAAGCACAAUGCUCCCCUAUCAAAGUCUGCACAAAGGUUACGUGCUCAUGGUAAUUUUCUCUCAGGAGGAGAGCUCGCAAGCUAUUGAGAGUAUUCCGCCCACAUGGCAGAGCCUGGAAAACUACCCGUGGCAUAUUCGAUAUGCCAAAAACAGUAACAACAAGCCUCGCAAUGGAGACGUUACUGGCGCCAGCUCGAGCAACUCGGUGAACAAUGGGACAGCAGUGCUACAGUGCUACAAUAUUUUAAAGGAGUGAAAUCUGUACAUGCUUUGAAAGGAAAUAAGAAUUUAGUUAUUGUAAGGGUAAAGAAGUCUUCCACUACUUUUGAAUGCAUAGCUCAUGGAACAUAUGUCACUCAUACUAGAGGCAAAACAACGUUUUGUUAAACUCUAUUUGUAUUUCCAGUUUUUUUAAAUAAUAAAGGACUGAGAAAAUCACUUCAGUUUCCCAUAGCUGCAGGUAAAAGGACAAGAAGUAAAUGCUCAAAAACAUUCGGAUUGCAGUAAAGAGGUUGAGAAUUCUGUGAUUAUUUGUAGGAACUUAUAGUCACAGGAAGUUUUUGUAAUAUAAACACAUGAUAAAAGUGAACUGUAGAAAGUAUCUAAAGUAAAAGUGACUUUCAACCUCCAAGGAGAGCAUAAUGGUCAAUACUUCUCUAAUCAUGUUACCUAAUUAACAAUAAAAUAUUUUAAAAUAAAUUAUAAAAAUAACAGGGUUAGAAAAUGGAAACAAAUAAAAGAGAGUUAACAAAAAUGUUUAAGUUAUACAAAAUUAAUAUAAAAGCAUGAAGAUUGUUACUUUAAGGUCUAUGCUUAGUACUUUCUUUGUAGUUGUUUUUGUAGCAUUUUAAAUGUAUAAUAGACACUUGAGAUGAAUUCAUUUUGUCUCUAAAUUUUUAAUAUAUUUGCUUUAAAAAAUUCAAUUUUUAACAUAUUUGCUUUAAGAAAUUCAAUCUUUACAAAAUAAGAAAUUAUUAGUGGAACACAGUCAUUUGGGGCUCUGGAAGUGGGGCUAUAAACAUACAAUAUGAAAUAGAGUGGAAAACUUAACCUAAUGUUUGUCAAAACACCAUUGUUUUAUUUUAAUUUAUUUCUUUUUGUUCAUUUAUAUUCCAUCUAAAAUUUGUUUGCAUUGCACUCUAGCUAGAAAUUACUUUAUCAGGCAUCUUUCUCCUUAAAUUGUAUUGGCCAGGUGAUGAGUGUUCAAAUGUAAACAAAAUAUAUACAAAAGUUAAUAUACUAAUAUGAAAAAUGAAAGUUUACACAAAUGAAGCCAAAUGUGUUGAUUCUAAAAUGUAUCUUCAUUUGUUAUUAAUGAACAGUAAUAUAAAAGUUUAUUUUCAUCUUUGUUCUAUGUUCGUGUUUAAAAUUAGAAUGCUACCACCAUACCAUAUUAGUAAUUUUGAUACUUACAGGGGCAAAGAUCAGGGCCAUGAAAAUCCUUACCAGUUGCUAUUCAAUAUUUUUGCUGAUAGUUUCAUAUUUAUAUUUGCUCCCUUUUAAGGAAUCAUUUUUCUGCUCUUUUCACAACAUGUUACAUUUCUAUUUAAACCUAAAAAUAUAGCUACAUUUUCAAGGGAUGUGUUUGCAAACAUUGUAUGAGGGAAAAACAAUCUCGAAAAUGUGUGAAUCUGUAUCUGUACCCUCAUGGUGACUCACUAAUUAAAGAAUAAAAUAAAUUUAAAAAAUAUAGCUACAUUUUCAUUAAUUCUUUGAACCCUAACAAUAAAAUACUGCAAAUGAUAUCCAAUUUGUAAAAAUCAGCAUGAACAUAAGCUUUUUUCUGUGAUUUGACUUAUGUCUUAUGCCAAUAUAAGUUAGAAGUAAAAGCAUGUAGAGACAGAUUGUUUUUGUUGGUAUUUUUAUGUAAUGUUUGUGUCAAUGUACAUAUGUUCUUAAGAUGGAAACCACAGCAAAGAAAGCUUCAUUACAUACAAAUUAUAAAUAUCUAGUAAAGUGUUUGCCCUUGAUAGAACUUGUUUAGUGAUGUAGCUGUUUUCUUACUUAAGGAGAUUAAAUUGUAUAAUGAGGCAAGCUUUAUAUUUUUGGAUUUUGCAUUUGUGUAAUGAAUUCUAAUGAGAAAAUUUCUAGUUCUUUAUCCCGACUUAAAAUUUUAAAAACUCUUCUCACCAAAGAAUUUCUUUAAAUAGACCAGUAAAUAAAAUAAGACUCCCAAACCAGCUCACUCUAAAGUGUUUAUGUACCACUCAUUUGACUAUGUGCAUUUGAUAUAAUCUUAGAUAAUAAAUGCGUCAGUUUCAGUGUAGGUACUGGUGAUGUAUAAGAAUACAUCCUUUGAUGAUGUA